AUUGAACGCUGGCGGCAGGCCUAACACAUGCAAGUCGAGCGGAUGAAGCGAGCUUGCUCCUGGAUUCAGCGGCGGACGGGUGAGUAAUGCCUAGGAAUCUGCCUGGUAGUGGGGGAUAACGUCCGGAAACGGGCGCUAAUACCGCAUACGUCCUGAGGGAGAAAGUGGGGGAUCUUCGGACAUCACGCUAUCAGAUGAGCCUAGGUCGGAUUAGCUAGUUGGUGGGGUAAAGGCCUACCAAGGCGACGAUCCGUAACUGGUCUGAGAGGAUGAUCAGUCACACUGGAACUGAGACACGGUCCAGACUCCUACGGGAGGCAGCAGUGGGGAAUAUUGGACAAUGGGCGAAAGCCUGAUCCAGCCAUGCCGCGUGUGUGAAGAAGGUCUUCGGAUUGUAAAGCACUUUAAGUUGGGAGGAAGGGCAGUAAGUUAAUACCUUGCUGUUUUGACGUUACCAACAGAAUAAGCACCGGCUAACUUCGUG
rnacentral:rRNA from 1 species